AUGGAUCUCCCGUGGAUAUGUUCAGUUGUACCACUCAAUGAAGAACGCAUAACAAAAACUAUAGGAGAGAUCAAUAGAGGGUGCAGGGAGACUGCCGGUGUUCGGAAGCCGGGCUUUGUUCCCUCAAGUAGUCGCGUCCACUGCCGCACAGGACGGCUGGUGGAGCUUCACCCAGCAGCAGCUGGCCAGGACGAGAUUGCGUGCACCCUGCGAGCCAGAUCCCCGGAAGGUGGAGGUGGGCUUUGCGAGGUCAACCAGCAGCAAAUUGAGGGGCUCGUCCUAGUUGUGGUUGUAGGCUCGAUGGCCUUCUGCAGUGCUCCAUCGAGGAAGCUGCCGGUCUCCUUCAGCUAUGAGUCAGGGAGAGCAACCCCCGGUGACUGGACCAUGGCGACGCAUCCUGUCGGAGGCGCCCGACCGGCAUCGAGGGAUAGCACGGGGAAGUGGAGAAUCGCUGGGGCGGCGACUGAUUUGCGUCGGGUGGCGGCCGACGCGCAUGGGGGAUCCCGUGGUGGCGGGGCAGGGUCCAAACAGGAUCCAAAUAACUAUUUUGAUCCUGGGAUCUAUAGGGAGUGGCAUUUUGGCUCUCGGGUCCAGGUGAACCCGAAAUCUGAGCCGCCUAGACAAGCAUGGGGAUGUGUGCUACAGGUCACUGUCGAAGGAAUACAAGAAUUG
rnacentral:rRNA from 1 species